GUAGUCCACGCCGUAAACGAUGGGUGCUAGCCGUUGGAAGGUUACCUUUCAGUGGCGUAGUUAACGCGUUAAGCACCCCGCCUGGGGAGUACGGUCGCAAGAUUAAAACUCAAAGAAAUUGACGGGGACCCGCACAAGCGGUGGAACAUGUGGUUUAAUUCGAGGCAACGCGAAGAACCUUACCAGGAUUUGACAUGCCCUCUAUGGGGCUCUGAAAGGAGCUCCUUCACUUCGGGUGGGAGGUGCACAGGUGCUGCAUGGCUGUCGUCAGCUCGUGUCGUGAGAUGUUGGGUUAAGUCCCGCAACGAGCGCAACCCUCGUCCUCUGUUGCUAACAGGUUAGGCUGAGCACUCUGAGGAAACUGCCGGUGAUAAGCCGGA
rnacentral:rRNA from 1 species